rnacentral:rRNA from 1 species
GACGAACGCUGGCGGCGUGCUUAACACAUGCAAGUCGAACGGAAAGGCCCUGCUUUUGUGGGGCGCUCGAGUGGGGAACGGGGGAGUAACACGUGAGUAAACUGCCCUUGACUGUGGGAUAACUUCAGGGAACAGGGGAUAAUACAGGAUAGGAGCUCCUGCUGCAUGGUGGGGGAUGGAAAGAUUCGGCGGUUUGGGCUGGACUCGCGGCUUAUCAGCUUGUUGGGGGGGUAGUGGCUUACCAAGGCUUUGACGGGUAGCCGGCCUGAGAGGGUGACCGGCCACCUUGGGCCUGCGAUACGGCCCAGACUCCUACGGGACGCAGCAGGGGGGAAUAUUGCACAAUGGGCGGACGCCUGAUGCAGCAACGCCGCGUGCGUGAUGCCGGCCUUCGGGUUGUAAACCUCUUUCGCCUGUGACGAAGCCUGCGUGACGGUAAUGGGUCAAGAAGCCCCGGCUAACUACGUG